CAUAAAAUAAGUGCUAAAGGCAUAGAGGUGGAUCAAGCCAAGAUAGAGGUUAUAGAAAAACUUCCCCCACCUAUGAAUGUUAAGGGGGUAAGGAGUUUUUUGGGGCAUGCCGGUUUUUAUCGGCUUUUUAUAAAAGAUUUUUCAAAAAUAGCUAAGCCCCUUUGUAACCUCUUAGUCAAAGAAACUGAGUUUAAUUUUGAUACUGAAUGUUUAAAUGCUUUUUCUUUGAUUAAAAACAAGUUGGUGAUGGCACCAAUAAUCAUUGCGCCAAAUUGGGAUUUACCCUUUGAACUUAUGUGUGAUGCAAUGCAAGUGAUUAUGCAAAUUUUUCCAUGCAAUUUACUAUGCAAGCAAGGUUUUAAACGAAAAUCAAGUAAACUAUUCCACAACUGAAAAGGAAUUGCUUGCAGUAAUAUUUGCAUUGGAAAAAUUUAGUUCUUAUUUAAUUGGUUCCAAAGUCAUUGUUUUUACAGAUCAUGAGCUCUUAAGUAUCUCUUGACAAAAGGGGAUUCCAAACCUCGACUUUUGAGGUGGAUCCUUUUGUUGCAAGAAUUUGAUCUCGAGAUUCGUGACAAGAAGGGAGUAGAGAAUGUGGUGGCUGAUCACCUCUCAAGGCUUGAAAACAACGAGGUGACAAAGAAAGAAGGGGCCAUCAUGGCUGAAUUUCCAGAUGAACAGCUGUUUGCUAUAGGAGAAAGACCUUGGUUUGCCGACAUGGCCAAUUUCAAGGCCGGGAACAUAAUUCCUGAUGACAUGGAGCAGCAUCAAAGGAAAAAGUUUUUCAAGGAUGCAAACCACUAUUUAUGGGAUGAUCCUUAUAUGUUUAAGGUAAGCACUGACGGUUUGAUUAGACGUUGUGUUGCAGGUGAAGAGAUCAAAAACAUUUUGUGGCAUUGCCAUAGCUCAACUUAUGGGGGACACCAUAGCGGCGAAAGAACCGCUGCAAAAGUCUUGCAAAGCGGUUUCUGGUGGCCUACUCUUUUCAAGGACUGCCAUGAUUUUGUAAGGCGGUGUGACAAUUGCCAAAGAACAGGUAGUAUUUCUAAGAGGAAUGAGAUGCCCCUAACGGGAAUCAUUGAAGUUGAACCUUUUGACUGUUGGGGCAUUGAUUUUAUGGGACCGUUCCCUCCCUCUUAUUCUUAUCUCCAUAUACUUGUGUGUGUUGACUACGUCACCAAAUGGGUUGAAGCGAUACCAUGUGUUGCUAAUGAUUCCAAGACCGUUGUCAAUUUUUUAAGGAAAAAUAUUUUCACUAGGUUUCGAACACCUAGAGUCUUGAUCAGUGAUGGGGGGAAGCACUUUUGUAACAACUUUCUUGAAACUGUGCUUAAAAAGUAUAACAUAAAACAUAAAGUUGCAACUCCCUACCACCCUCAAACUAGUGGUCAAGUAGAGGUUUCAAACCGUCAGUUGAAACAAAUUUUGGAGAAAACUGUAGCGUCUUCUAGGAAAGAUUGGUCUAGGAAGUUAGACGACGCUCUUUGGGCAUAUAGGACUGCGUUUAAAACGCACCUUGGGUUGUCACCUUAUCAAUUGGUUUUUGGCAAGGCUUGUCAUCUUCCAGUAGAGUUAGAACACAAAGCAUAUUGGGCCAUCAAAGCCCUUAAUUUUGAUCAAACUCUAGUUGGUAAGAAAAGACUCUUGAAGCUCAAUGAGCUAGAAGAAAUGAGACUUUGUGCGUAUGAGAACGCCGUUAUUUACAAAGAGAGAACUAAGAAGUAUCAUGACAAGGGCCUGGUGAGGAGACAGUUUUAUGUUGGACAACUUGUUUUGCUGUUUAAUUCCAGGUUAAAGUUAUUUCCUGGGAAAUUAAAAUCCAAGUGGUCCGUACCAUUUAUGAUUUUAAAGCAUAUCUCCUUAUGGAGUUGUGGAGCUGAGCAAACCUGGAGAACCAGGAACAUUUAAAGUUAAUGCUCAGAGGGUAAAACCGUACCUCGGAGGUAAACUCCCUACAAACAAAGCGGGAGUGGUGUUGAAUGAUCCUUAGGGGUCGUCAUACGUCAAGCUAGUGACGGUAAAGAAGCGCUUUAUGGGAGGCAACCCAUCGGAUUUAGAUCCGCGCAUGUAGUUUCUUUUUAUUUAUUUAUGUAUUUAAUUAUUUCAAUUUCUUUUACAAACAAAAACAGCAAAAAUAUUUUUGGAAAGUUGAAAACAAUUUUUUUUUCUCUAAGUCAUAACCGUCGUGGCACGAUUAAUCUUCAUCGUGGCACGAUUUGAGAACAUCUGCAAAGAGGAUCGCCACUAGAAACAUCGUGGCACGAUAGUUCUCAAAUCGUGGCACGUUUUGCUGGAAGAACUAAGAUCGUGGCACGAAGGGUUUAUGAUCCUGGCACGUUCAAACUCAGAAAAUAUUAUCAUGUCACGUUGGCUUGCACGAGAGUGGGAAGUUUCAAAUUCUUUUGACCGUUACAGAAGGCAUCGUAGCAUGAUUACUCCAAAUCGUGGCACGAACCUGCUUUUCUAUAAAUACAAGCCACGAAAAUUUUUCACUCCUUUUCACUUUCCCUUAUCAAAACUCUGCCCAAAUUUUUCUUAAACUCCAAAAUUCCUCACAAAUUCGUCCACUAUCACCAAUCUUCAUCUUAAACAUCAUCAUUACAACCCCCUAACCAUAUAAAUUUCAUAAACAUUUCCACUUAUACCACAAUUCAACCAAAGCCUACCUCUCAAAACCACCAUCUCAUCUCUUAACUUUCAAUUAACCCCAACCUAACUCCACAAAUGGCCUCCACAUCAAACAAAUGCACUAGAGGAUCCCGUAACACUCAACCAACCCAACCAACACAACAACCCAUUUAUGCCAAGUUUAUGGAUCUUCAAUGUGAAGAAAGGUUCGAGAAAAUCAAGGGGUACAGGUUUGCAGGUGAAAGGAAGUUUGAUUUUAUUAAUCUUCAAAGGUAUCCACAAUUUGAAACAAAAUUCACUCUUUUGGGGUGGAAGAAUUUCAACAACAUAGUGGUUAAGGAGAGCAACCGUACAAUAGCACUGGAGUUCUUCGCGAACGCUUAUGGUAAGGAGGAUGAUAAGGUUUUUGUUAGAGGUAAGAAGGUUGAUUAUAGUCCAGAGGCAAUUAAUCAAUUUCUCGGAUUGAGAGAACCUGGACAGUGUCAUGUGGAAUGGAGGAGAUCUAGGAGUAACGGAAACUUCCCCACUGAUGAUGAGUUUGCUCAAAUUCUGGCUGAGAUAGGUAAGGUAGGUGCAGAUUAUGUGCGCUCAAGGGCAACUGGUUAUCCGACUAGGAUGAAUGUGGUUGAUUUGAAGUCGGAAUAUAAAGCUUGGGCAUAUUUUAUUCACUCUACUCUAGAGAGUGUGUCCGCUACUUCUGAACUGCCUCUUGAGAGGUUGUAUAUCUUGGAACCAAAAAGGGCACGGUAUUAAUGUGAGAAGGUUGAUGAACAUGAGUAUUCAGUAGAUGGCUGACUGUGGCACUUCUGUAACUUUGGGUCACUGUUGUUUGAUCAAUGCCUUAUGCAAUGCUGAAGCAGUUCCGGUAGAGCGAGGGGACAUCAUGUUUAAUUCUAAGGGAGCAAUUGAUGAUACAGCUAUGACAAAGUUUGAAAGGGAGUCAGCUAGGCAAGGUCGUCAUGCACCUCAACAAGUUCAACCUAUGCAGGAGGAUGCACCCCAACACCCACCACUACACCCGAUGUUGCAGGAUUACAUUUGCGGUAUGGCCAACUGGGCACAAGAUACUUCAUCAGAGCUGUAUCUGGACGGGCCCUAUUUUGGAGCGGAACUUUCUCUUGCUGCUGAUCAGCACCGUCAGAUGCCUCUUCAGGGCAACGCCUUUGAGAGAUUUGGUAAUGAAGAGGCUAUGGAGAAUUAUUUUGUUAAUCAGAGAGAACGAGCACAGGCUAGGGAGCGACGUGCCAGAGCUGACUACGCAUGUGGGAAGACAGGCAGUGAGCAAAGGGCUAGUCAGUUCUAUGCUAACAUUGAGGGGAGCUCCGAGGAUGAGCAGUGAUUGGUUUUGGAGUCCAAGAUUUUCUUUUCAGCUUUCCGUUUUAUGUUAAAUUUCUAUCUACUUUUUAAUUUUUACAGACAUUGUGUUGAUGCAUCACUUGUUUAAUCCGUAAGAUUGUUAUACUUUUCUUUAUUAAUGAAUUUGUUUGUUUUUGGAAACUUAUCAGUCUCAUAACAGUGUUAUACCAAUGAUAUUUCAAAAGUUCAAAGGAGGAUGAUGCCUAAAUGUUUCAAAGGGAAGUGUACGGCAAGGAAUUAGGUAGCCACAACUCCCAGAUACCUCAACUUGUAAGGUUCAUAGCCACAUUUUUAUUUUUCCAUUUUACAUAUAUGAGUGUUCCAUGCAACUGUUGUUUCUAGAACUUGCGAUAUUCCUCUAUUUGUUGAUUGGUCUUUUUUGUACACACUAAGGCAAAGUGCUUGGUACCUUGAGCCUUUUUGAGCCUACCUUGAUAUAAUUGUUAAAAUAUCCUUUGUAAAGCCAAUUUGAGCCUUUAGGUUUAGAUCCUUUGUUCGGUGAUGAGCCAUGUUACAAACCUAGAAAGCCUUAGGAAGAAUGUUCCAAGAAAUUAUUGAAGUUAAGCUUUUAGGUUUUGUGAAAUGUGCAAAGUUUGGGGUUGCUUCUGGUAUUAGCAACUUCUUAAGUUUGGGGUAGGGGAUACUAGAGAACAGAAAAAAAAUAUUUGUUGUAUAUCUUUUGAAAAGAAAAAAAAAGCAAAAGGCACUUGUUACAUGUGCAGGAAAAAUAAAAGAAGAGAAAAUUGUUUAGAGACCAAAAAUAUCUGUCGCGUCAUUUUUCGGAGAUCAAGGCUAUUUGAUUAGCUUUUGACUCACUUUAUUAUUUCACGACUGAACAUUUAAUUUUAUUAAGAAAAGGGGAAAAAAGUUCAAACUACCCCAUUUUGAAAAGAUUUAGGGUUCGGGGGUUAAUUACAUAAAGGGAAGGUAUUAGCACCCUUUAUGUCCGUAGUACUCUACGGGAACCUCUUGGUUUUAUUUAAUUAAUUGUGCUAUAACUUGCUUGCUUUUGAAAAGAAUGAAUUAAUGUGAUGAAAAGGAAAAUAAAAUGAGACCUAAUUUAUCUACAUUUUUUAUUGUUUGGAAGGACAUGGUCCUCUGCCUACGUACCCGUGAAGGAUCAAAACCUCGUAGUUCGGGGUAAAAAUUGACGUUUGAUUGGUGGUGUGUUUUUUUAUUAGUUUUGAAAAAGGUUUUAAAAGGAAAAGCCAAGUGGCAAAUAAGAAUUGGUUUGUAUUUUUUAGGUUUAAAAGAAAAUGACUUAAAGUAGAUUUAAAGUUAAUUGCAAUUUUUUGAUUUAUGAAAGAGAUAAAAUAAAAGACGAUCACUUGAUUUGGAUCAAGGUUUAUUAUGAAAAAUGUUUUUUGUGAUUUUUUUGUUAUUUGCAUGUUUUUUGUCGUUUUUGAAUAAUUGCUAAACUAGAAUGUAAACUAACGGAGCAAGGAAAGUAAAGCGUAGGUACCUAAGCAGGAAAAUAAAGCAUACACCCACACACGCACACAUGCACCUAAAUUAUUACAAAAAAGCCUAUUUACAUUCUAAGGUCUGCAAUAAAUAAAUUACAUUAAGCCUAUUAUUUACAUUCUAAUAUCCUUGCUGCAAAAAUAAAUGACAUAAAAAUAAAGAAUUGAAUAAUGAAAUUAUUUCUAAGAUGCAUGCAGAGCAUGGGUUCAAUCACAAGGUGGGGUGCAGCAGUAUUAUGGGGUGUACAGAAUAGUAAAAAAGAAACUGGGCUCAGAGGCGCGCGUUGGGCCUCACGGGUUGUGGAAUUGGGCUUAAAGGGAACCGGUUUUGGUCCGGUUCGGUUCAAUGGCUGAACCGGUUCAGCCUAGAUAUAUAUAGGCAGUGGCUGGUUUUUUUCUUCAUUUUUCCAAAUCAUUUCUCUCUCUACUUCCCUAUGCUCUCUUCUCUCUCUUCAUGUUCUUCCCUUCUAGCAAUUUUCCGGCAAGCAUGAAUUUUCCGGCGCGGUGGUCGCCGGCCAAGGGUGGCGCCGCCGCCGCGCCGGACUUUAAAGUCGACCUCUUUGUGUUUUUUUUAGCUCUUUCACUUGUUUUCUUCCCCUCUACACGAUUCUAAGCCUAAAUUUUCAAUAACACGCACCCAGAGACCUAGAUCUAAAGGAGAAGUAAAUACUACCUUUUGUUGAGCUUUUGAUUCGGAUUUCUUUUCGGAUUUGCCUUGAUUUGGGCUGAGUCGUGCGUCUGAAUCCGAGACUGAAAUCUGGUUUCUUUGGAUCGGCCGAUUGCUACUGGAUCGUUGAUGCUUGCGAUCGGAUUUGUAUUGGAAACGGUUGCGGUUCUUCUCUCUGGCUUUCCGUGUGCGCCCUGCUGUGUGAUCCAGUGUCUUUUUCUUGUGUUGUGCAGGACUCUAUUUAUAGUGCUGGGUUGAGGCUAGAAAUCAGUGGCUUGGGGAGGAGAAAAAGCAAUUUCGGUUGUUGGAUUAGGAUGAAAGAAGGAGGACGCGAUUGUGUUCCUGAGUUCUUGCGGAUGAGGAUUGGUGAAGGUUGGAUUGGAAUGGCAUACGCGUGACACUGUUAUUCUGAACCUGGACACUUUUGGACUUUGGACUUUUUAUGGAUAUUAACAAAUGAAUAAAGUGAUAAAUGAGAAAAUAAAAAUAAAGAUAAAAUAAAUGCAGACUUCUUUUGGACUUAUCUAAAAUGGAAUUAAAAGAAAAAUUGAUUUUAAAGUAAAAAAAAUAAAUAAAAGAUGGAAAUAAAUGAUUGAGGACUAAGAGAAGAGGGCCCAACUCGGA
rnacentral:lncRNA from 1 species